rnacentral:rRNA from 1 species
UGGGGAAUAUUGGACAAUGGGCGCAAGCCUGAUCCAGCAAUGCCGCGUGUGUGAAGAAGGCCUUCGGGUUGUAAAGCACUUUUAUCAGGAGCGAAACGCUGUCGGCUAAUACCCGGCGGAACUGACGGUACCUGAGGAAUAAGCACCGGCUAACUUCGUGCCAGCAGCCGCGGUAAUACGAAGGGUGCAAGCGUUAAUCGGAAUUACUGGGCGUAAAGCGUGCGUAGGCGGUUUCUUAAGUCUGCUGUGAAAUCCCCGGGCUCAACCUGGGAAUGGCAGUGGAUACUGGGAGGCUAGAGUGUGUCAGAGGGUGGUGGAAUUCCCGGUGUAGCGGUGAAAUGCGUAGAGAUCGGGAGGAACACCAGUGGCGAAGGCGGCCACCUGGGACAACACUGACGCUGAGGCACGAAAGCGUGGGGAGCAAACAGGAUUAGGAUACCCUGGUAGUCCACGCCCUAAAGCGAUGCGAACUGGAUGUUGGUCUCAACUCGGAGAUCAGUGUCGAAGCUAACGCGUUAAGUUCGCCG